GCGGGGUGGAGCAGCCCGGUAGCUCGUCAGGCUCAUAACCUGAAGGUCACAGGUUCAAAUCCUGUCCCCGCAACCA
rnacentral:tRNA from 10 species